ACAUGUUCACCGGUCUACAGAUGAACCAAAUACUUUAGAAAAAUAACUAGAACUAUUUUUGUUUCUGAGCUUCAAAGAACAACAACAUUUCCAAAGCAAAGGUUGUGGUGGACACUUCUUGCACCCAAACUAGCCACCCUACUUUCCUGGGAUUGCUGAUAAUCAGGGCUCGUCUCACCUGUGACAACCCGUGACGGCUGAUCUGCAUAUGUUUUGUCAUAUGUUUUGACUGUUUUUAAUGUUGUUUUAGAGCAUUGUUUUAAAAAAUUUUAAAUUGU